rnacentral:rRNA from 1 species
UACAGAGGGGGCAAGCGUUACUCGGAAUUACUGGGCGUAAAGCGCACGUAGGCGGCUUGGUAAGUUGGGUGUGAAAUCCCCGAGCUUAACUUGGGAAUUGCAUUCAAGACUGUCUUGCUAGAGUGUGGAAGAGGGAAGCGGAAUUCCAGGUGUAGCGGUGAAAUGCGUAGAUAUCUGGAGGAACAUCAGUGGCGAAGGCGGCUUCCUGGUCCAACACUGACACUGAGGUGCGAAAGCGUGGGGAGCAAACGGG